CUUUGGGAGAAAUAAGUGCAUUGUGUAACAGUAAAUCUACACCAAGCUCUGAAGUAGAAAAUAAAAUUAUUUAGAUUUCUGUUUUAGAAGAAAUGCUUCUUUGGGCAUGCACCAGAACCCACCGGAGAAUCUAGUUGUGCCUCUGCUUGAUCAGCAGCCCAGAGAGAGUACGAAUGCGAUCCAGAUGGUGCAGCUCACAUCCACCAUGGGGACUCAAACCCAGGUUCUAUCAGAAAGUGUGUCUCCUGUCACCGCUGAUGCUCGGACAGCCCAUCUGUCGCCUCCUUGCAUCUCGUGCUGGUGUCUGUUCCUGCUGCUUUGCUCACACUGCCUGCCUGGCCCCAGCUCAUCUCCCGCUCAGUUUUGGACCCAUGCAUCAGCUGCCCAGGAACUUGUCUGACUUGGACAGCCCUGCUUGGGUGCAUCUUGCAUGUGGUCGCCAGCCCUCCUUCCAAAAGAAGCAAGCUGCCCUGUCCUUGGUAGCCCUAUGGAGAAGCCCAUGUUGGAAGGAACGAUGUCAUCAACCAACAGCCAACAUCCAACUGAACAAGCUGGGGAACAGGUUUCCCCUCCAGCCACCCGCCCUGAAACCCUCAGCAGAUGCCUCUGGUGCAGCCUAGAGAGACACCCCAAGUAAGGGGCAUCCCCCUAAGUGGCUCCUGGAUUCCUGGCCUGCAAAAACUGUGAGGACAGUGCUAUCUAAAAAUUUUACCUAGAGGUUGCAAAGAUAUUCUUCCAUACUUGCAUCUCAAAUGUCUUUAAAAGAUGUGAAGAAAAGAAGGUGGAUGUCCUAGAGAGCCUAGAAGAGAAGGAAGAACGAGGGAUUGGGUGUCCUGGUUUCCCCUCUGGGUGAGGUCUGCAGGCCGGCCAGAAGCUGAUCUUCCAUUCUCUACACAGUGGAAGAAAAGCGUGCUCCAUCUUUUGUGCUGGGUGUCAACUCCCUUCCUGAAUCUGCCUGAUUUUGUUCAUAUUCUAGUCCUUUAGAGCGUCACCAUAGCCAGGCACCAAUGUGGAGGCCAGGAGAGCAAGAGAGCAAAGACAAGAUGGAAAUCCCAGUCUUCACAUCACAACUGACAUCCCAUCUCCUCUGCCACAUGCUGCUGGAGAGACUCACUUGAUCCAGUCCACACUCCGGGGAGGGGAUGACCCAGGGUGUGAGUCCCUGGCAGCGGUGACCACAGCCCCCGUUAUGUUGCUGCCACGAAGCACAGCUAGGGAGUCCUCACCCGGGGACACCUUCUGCAGAAGGCAAGGGUUCGACUCUGAAGUGCUGAACAAAUUCUCCACCCCAUUCAGGGAAGACGAAACCCCACGUUCCCCAUGGGUCUGAGGAUGUGGAAAGCACCAUAUGCACAGAGCCUGGAAGGAAACCCAGAUAUAAAAACUGUCGUUUUAGACUGGUGGGAUUGUAAAAAAGACUUUUAAAAAACUCAAAGUGGUUAGUAGUUCUACAAUAAAUAAAAUUUUCUGAAAAAUAAUGGAAACGAAAAAAAUUCACAUUCCUUUCCCAGCGUAUAUCAAUUUUUGCUCAUUGUUUUUAAAAAAUCUUUUUUAGCCUUUUUCUCUCUUAUAAAAUCAAACACUGAAGAGGAAGUUGCCUAGGAUUCUGGGUAUAAAAUGCAGACAAACACAUACACAUUUUUCCCAAGCCUUGACCUCUCUGGAACAUUACUUGAAUUGCACUUAUCCUGGGGCCUGCUCAGAGCUGAGGCUCAACUCGUGGUCCUCAGCUAUGUAGAAUCCUUGUCCCUGCUCUAGGCCUUAAGGUUCUUGCAAGCAGAAGUGGAUCCUCUUUCUGAUGGAAGCUUCAGCUUUCUGCACAAUGCCUGGCAUAAGGAGCUUGGAUUUCAGUCAAGAUCAUGAAAUAAAUAAAUGAACUAAACAAAAAAGGAAAAAAAAAAAAGAGACAUAGAGGCACUAUGAUGGCAACCAGCAACUUAGUUCUACCUUCAGGUCCCCAGAGCUAAGACUUGUUCAUUCACAUUAUCUGCCAGGAUGGAGUGAUGGGACACUGUGGCGCCAUCGGGUGGUGGGACAGACUGAUGCUCAGUCAGUGCCUGGAGGGCUGGAGGCCCUUCUUCAACAGAAUGAAAAGGAAGGAUGGAGUGAGGUUUGGAAGUUACCACCCCUUCAGCAGAUAGCCAGAAAGUUCACUCAUUUGCUUGUUCAUUCAACAAGUACUUAUGGAGCCCCAGGGUGUGUGCACUGAAUGGUUCCGUGCGAUGAGGGUGUGACUGAGAACUAGAAAUUGAAGCAGGC
ensembl:lncRNA